GAUGAACGCUGGCGGCGUGCCUAAUACAUGCAAGUCGAGCGAAUGGAUUAAGAGCUUGCUCUUAAGAAGUUAGCGGCGGACGGGUGAGUAACACGUGGGUAACCUGCCCAUAAGACUGGGAUAACUCCGGGAAACCGGGGCUAAUACCGGAUAACAUUUUGAACCGCAUGGUUCGAAAUUGAAAGGCGGCUUCGGCUGUCACUUAUGGAUGGACCCGCGUCGCAUUAGCUAGUUGGUGAGGUAACGGCUCACCAAGGCAACGAUGCGUAGCCGACCUGAGAGGGUGAUCGGCACACUGGGACUGAGACACGGCCCAGACUCCUACGGGAGGCAGCAGUAGGGAAUGUUCCGCAAUGGACGAAAGUCUGACGGAGCAACGCCGCGUGAGUGAUGAAGGCUUUCGGGUCGUAAAACUCUGUUGUUAGGGAAGAACAAGUGCUAGUUGAAUAAGCUGGCACCUUGACGGUACCUAACCAGAAAGCCACGGCUAACUACGUGCCAGCAGCCGCGGUAA
rnacentral:rRNA from 1 species